GCUAAUACCGCAUAAGCGCACAGGAUUGCAUGAUCCGGUGUGAAAAACUCCGGUGGUAUGAGAUGGACCCGCGUCUGAUUAGCCAGUUGGCAGGGUAACGGCCUACCAAAGCGACGAUCAGUAGCCGACCUGAGAGGGCGACCGGCCACAUUGGGACUGAGACACGGCCCAAACUCCUACGGGAGGCAGCAUG
rnacentral:rRNA from 1 species